CCCUUAGACGUUCUGGGCCGCACGCGCGCUACACUGACGAAUGCAACGAGCUUAUAACCUUGGCCGAAAGGUCUGGGUAAUCUCCAAAUUUCGUCGUGAUGGGGAUAGAUUAUUGCAAUUAUUAAUCUUCAACGAGGAAUGCCUAGUAAGCGCAAGUCAUCAGCUUGCGUUGAUUACGUCCCUGCCCUUUGUACACACCGCCCGUCGCUCCUACCGAUUGAAUGGUCCGGUGAAGCGUUCGGACCGUGGCCUUUGGACGGUUCGCCGUCUGUUGGCUGCGGGAAGUUCGUUAAACCUUAUCAUUUAGAGGAAGGUGAAGUCGUAACA
rnacentral:rRNA from 1 species